AUGAUUUUACGUUUGAGUAAUUACUAUUUAUUAAUUUAUAGUAUUGGUUUAUUACUUAUGAAAUCGUGACUUGUGAUUCUUGUUUCUCUUUGACUUGUCAAAUUUACCAGACGUAUUUAACUCUUUUAAAGUUAAAAUAUUUCUUAUGGAUAUUAUUUUGUUUAAAUUUGAAUCUUUUAAUAGAAAAUAGUUAUAUAACGAAUAUUGUUUUUCUUGUACUGCGUAUAAUUGCACUCAAAGAUCAACUAAAGGAGUUUCUUUGCAUAAGUAAGUAGCUACAAAUCAUUCUUAACUAAACAUAUUUUAUUUAUUUAAAUGAUUUAAAAUUGAAAUUAAAAUCCUACCUUUUGUAUCAAAUAUGAAUUGUUAGUUCAUUAUUUUACUAUAACUAUUAACUACCUAUUUAUUAUUUGUAGUUUUUCCAAAGAUAUGAAAUCGAGAAGAAAACGGAUCCAAGUUAUGCGGAGGGAUGGUUUUACUCCUAGCAAACAGUAUAAACUUUCCAGUAAAUAUUUCACUAGUGACUGUUAUGAUCUAAGUUUUUGGAGUUCACAAAAAAAACUCAAAAAAUGAUGCAAUCCCUUCAAAUAUUUGAUUUCCUAACAUAUUUAAGAAAAACUUCUACUCCUGAAACAGACAAAAUAUUAUUUCAAAUAAUAUCACCAAUGAUUCAAUACAGUAAAUCUAAUAUAACUAUUACUUUUAAAAUGGCAUAUAUUAAUUAAAAAUGUUACGAGUUUACUUUUUGAAACAUAAAAUACUUGUAUAUUUUUAGGAACAUUAAUGUUGAUAAUUUUAAAUCAAUCCUACUACCAAAGGUAAAUAAAAUGGUAUAUUGGAGAUUUUAAUGAAAACGAUAUGGUAAUACCACAAAAUAGUAAACAAUUUUUGGAAUAAAUUAAAAGUAAACUUACUUCUAAACAGAAGACUAUUAAAAUGCCUCAUAAAUCCUAGUGUUGUAAUAUCUAUUACCUAUUUACCGUGUUCUGCUAUAGUUUAAUAUUAAUACUGUUUACAGGAGAAGAAAAUAGUAUAACAAUAUUCAAAGGAAUAAGGAAGCUAGAUUCAACAUCAUUUGUAAGUAUAGUGCCUAUAAUACCUAUAUUAUGAUAUAAGUAUUUCAAAUAUUUGUUAUAGUUGAAUAAUUAUUGAAAUUAUAGUUUUUAAAUCAUAUCAUCCUCCAGUUAGAUUAGGAACAGAAAAACUUACUCCAAGAUAAUUGAAUUAUGUGAAGACUGAAGUGGCCCAGACAUAAAUAAUUUGUGUUGGUAAUUUUGAUUUUGAUUUUUGAAUACAAAUAGAAAAAAUUUCAAAUAAUGCUAAUCCUAUCGAAAUUUAGGAAAAUUACUCGAAAAUGAAAUUUGAUUUCAAGUCAAGCUAGUUUGUUGAAAAUGUUCUAGAGCCUUUUGGAUUUGAAAACUAUUAAGUAUGUACCUUGUUGGGUCAAUUUUUCUAAUAUGGUACUAAAUUGAAAACAAUAGUUUAUUUUUAGAUGUGUUACUCGGAGUAGAUAGGCUUGAUGAAUUUCAUUUAAUUGAUUUUGUUUCUGGUGAAAAUCUAAAAUGUUGAAAUGAAGCCGGUACGCAACACCAGUAAGUAUGAUGUAUUCAUAAUAAUUUCAUAAUGCAUGUGGCUAUAGAAUCCUUUCAACCAAAUUAAUAUUACCAAAUUUUUUAUAAUAUUUCAGAUGACCAAAAAUCUGUAUACCCAGGACACAACUAUAUGCAAGACUCUCAUAUUGACAUGAUGGAUUGAAAGCCAAAUGAUGGAAAGAAAAGAAAUUCUGUUAUUUUUUGGAAUAUAUGAUUUGUGGUUCUACACUGUUACAUCUGGGGUGUAAAAAGGCAAUAAUCAGUGUUCUAACACAAAAUACUAAUUUUAUAAAAUGUAUAUUUGAUAAUAAGUAUAUUCUGGCUACCCAGCUACUAAGUUAAUAAUAUUUUUGAUGUUCCGGAUGCCCAUAGAGUCCUAACUGAGUACUUGAUAUAUUCUGUAUUUAUAUUAUAACCCGCCUAACACCCGGUUCCCGAUUUGUUAGUAAUUAAUUGACCCAAAAUACCGUUAAUUAAUAAUAUCAAGUGCUUUUUGGUUAAAAAAUCCAUACAGUUUUAAAAUUCUCUCUGGUUUCCUUUUUUAAUUAAAAUAUUGACCUAGUUUCUCUAUGAAUGCAUCUUGUAUUUUGAUAUAUGAUGUGAUAAUUUUCGAACAAAUUAUUAAAUAGUUGGAUAUUACAUUUAAAAAAAAAUACCAAUGUAUUAUUAGUUACUUUCAGAAGAAAAACAAUCUAAACAUUAUUUAUACAAUUACAGUAGAUACAGUGGAACCUUGAUAAGUUAAAAUAAAUGCUGGUCCCUUGCGAAAACCUCAAUUAUUUAAAAUAAAUAUAACUUAAGCAUUCUGUGUUCUGAAUAUAGACAUAUAAUGGCUGAUAAUUUUUUUAAUAAUUUGUCUAAUUGGCUUGUGAGUCCCAUAAUUUAUCCUAAUUGUGUUUACUGUGUUUAUUAUCAUAUUUUUCAUUUUAUAAUAAAUUAAUACUUUUAAUAAUUAUUUAAUCAUUAAUAAUAAGUUGACUAUAUUAUGUGCAUUAAUUUUAAAAACUUAAGUCUUAAGAAUAUUUUUCCUAAACCCUUGAUAACACAAAAACUUUAAUAAGUCAAAAAAUUGCAUUUCCUUUGAAUUUUGACUUAUAAAGGUUCCACUGUAUUUAAUAAUAUUUAAAAAAAAAAAUUUUACUAAUAGUAUUUCUAUGUCUAUCUGUAGUAUGUUGUAUCUUUUAGUAACCUCCUCGGUGGGCAACUCACUUUAAAUAAAAAUUGUUUCGCUUUCAUUAUAAUAAAAUUAUAAAUGGAUUUAACACUAGAGAAAGGUAACCUAGGGAACCUUUAUUUUGACUUUUUCUAAGCUUUUUAAGUACAUAUUUCUAGGUCAUGGAAUAGUAAAUAGGUAAAUUUCCGCUAAACUUAGCUUGUCUCUAAAAAAAACACCAAAAAAAAUCCUUAUACUUUUUUUUAAAAUUUAAAUUAAAUUUUAUACAUUAAUACCUGAAGUUUUAGCAUUUUAUAAUAUAAUAAUAUUUUUGUUUUUCUAUUUUCUUUUUACUGUUUUGUUUAUUGAACUCAUUCAGGUGAAACAAAUAAGUACAAAUUACUAAUGUUAACUGAACAGCAAAAGUUAGAUCACCAAUUUUACUUAUAAUAACAAAAUAUUGAAUAUUUUAUAAGUAUAAUACUUAUAUUAAAUAAAACUGGAUUGGGCCAAAAAUGAAUUAUACAGAUUUCUAUUCAUUAUAAAUGUAUAACUGACAUUUAGUUGUUUGAUUAAAUGACUUUAAUUAAUAGUAUAUAAUCAUUCUAAAAAAUCUCAAAAUUACUACACUCAACAACAUGCAAUUCAUGAAAACUUUAUCUCACCAUACUUGGGACUCAGAAAAAAAUAGCCUUAUAACUAUCCGAUGUAUCCGUUGUAUAUCCGAUGAAUAGUUUUUAAGUAACAGCAAUUUUAAAUUCUACUAAUCCGUGUGAAAACUGAUGUUAUCUAGAGAAUAACCUAUCCGUCUUUCACAAUAAUACGAAAUAUCUGGUUCCACCCAGGAAUCAAAAUACUUUUUAAAUAACGUCAGAAAAUAUGCAAGCUUCAAUAUGACUUCAUUUGGUGCAACAAGAAAAAAAAAACCAGGAUAUCAAACAACAUCCAAAAUACAAGGUCAAAUUUAUCAUCGGAUAGUUUAUUUUCUUCCACAUGAUGGUGAAUCAUCAUUUUUGCAAAUAUAUUUUAUUGACAAUGAUAAAAUUCAAUUACAACAUAGAUGCAAAGUUAUUCUAAAUAUCGAUCCCAGAAUAUUGUUACAAUACUACAAUUUUUACACAAACACAGCGAAUUAAUAAAACUUUUUUAGAAAAUAUGUCAACAUGAAUUUUAAUUAACCAAUAAUAAAUGAAAUAGUUGUGGUCAUAACUAGCAAUGAAUUUAGUAAACUCGAUAUUAUAUUGAAAAAAGGAAGUAAUGAAUAUGUGAAAGUUCAAGAAACACAUAAAUCUUAUGAUACUUUAUCAUAUCCAUUAAUUUUUUGGAAAAGAAGACGGAUAUCAUUUCGAACCAAAACAGAUAGAUCAAUUCAAUCAAUUCAUCGUUGACAUAUAUGCGAAAAUUGAAAAUGAAUGUUUGCGUUAUGUACAAUGUAAUCAAUUAAAACUCAAAAUUAAUCAAUAUAUUCAUCUAAAAGAAGCAUUUGAAAAUGAUGUUGAUGUUGAAAAUAUAACAUGUAUUUACAUUGAAAAUAGUGUAAAAAUAAUAUUUAAAUGAUUACAUGAUAAAUGAAAAAAAAACAGAUCGUAUUCAAUUAAAAUCAACCGAGAAAAUUGUUUGUUUAUGAUUAAUGGAUCAACAUAUACAGAGAUAAAAUAAGUUGAGGAGCUUUAAAGAUAAGUCUGCACAUAGUAUAGUAUCCAAUUAUUUGUUUAAAAUUAUGUUUCUACAAGGUUAAGUAAUUCACCAC
rnacentral:lncRNA from 1 species